rnacentral:rRNA from 1 species
GACGAACGCUGGCGGCGUGCUUAACACAUGCAAGUCGAACGAUGAACCCGGAGCUUGCUCCGGUGGAUUAGUGGCGAACGGGUGAGUAACACGUGAGUAACCUGCCCUUGACUCUGGGAUAACUGCGGGAAACUGUAGCUAAUACCGGAUACGACCCUCGGCGGCAUCGCCAGGGGGUGGAAAGAAUUUCGGUCAAGGAUGGACUCGCGGCCUAUCAGCUAGUUGGUGAGGUAGCGGCUCACCAAGGCGACGACGGGUAGCCGGCCGGAGAGGGUGACCGGCCACACUGGGACUGAGACACGGCCCAGACUCCUACGGGAGGCAGCAGUGGGGAAUAUUGCACAAUGGGCGCAAGCCUGAUGCAGCAACGCCGCGUGAGGGAUGACGGCCUUCGGGUUGUAAACCUCUUUUAGUAGGGAAGAAGCGAAAGUGACGGUACCUGCAGAAAAAGCACCGGCUAACUACGUGCCAGCCGCCGCAGUAA